AGAUGUGAGGGUGAUCUGGCUGUGACAUCUGUCACCCCAUUGAUCACCAAGGUUGAUUCAGCUGAUCUGGCUGGCUAGGUGAGUGUUUCCUUCCUCCUGCAAUGCUCCACAUGUGUCCCACCCAAAGCUGUGUGCUCAAAGAAGAUGACCACCCCUGAUAGGGGACCAUUCUUCUGUCGAGGGUGUACAAGUAGCUGCACUGCCCUGCUAGAACCUCUAAACAAGCUCUCCAGUUAUGAGGUCAUAGCGGUUUCUGCCCAGAUUUCUGAACAAGGCCUGGGAGAUGAGGCAAAAAUGUGUCACAAAGCCACAGUUCCUGCCAGGAGCCCAUGAGAAGAGAGCACAUGAGGCUGU
ensembl:misc_RNA 7SK 7SK RNA